rnacentral:rRNA from 1 species
UACGUAGGCAGCGAGCGUUGUUCGGAAUUACUGGGCGUAAAGAGCUCGUAGGUGGUUUGUCGCGUUGUUCGUGAAAACUCACAGCUUAACUGUGGGCGUGCGGGCGAUACGGGCAGACUUGAGUACUGCAGGGGAGACUGGAAUUCCUGGUGUAGCGGUGGAAUGCGCAGAUAUCAGGAGGAACACCGGUGGCGAAGGCGGGUCUCUGGGCAGUAACUGACGCUGAGGAGCGAAAGCGUGGGGAGCGAACAGG